GCCAGCGCCUCCUUGUGCUUGGACGAGAACUGGAAGGUGCCCUUGUCCUUGUCCACCCACCAGAUGCUGUCCUUCAUGUCGCCGCUGCGGAGCAGGUCCAACAGGAACUGCCACUUUGUCCCUCCUGCCUUGGGAGAUGUAGUGAAGCUAGCACAGGCCUUGUCCUCUGCACAUUACCGUACCUCAUAGAUUGCAUGCCUUACCUCGCUGAAUCAUCACAGCUCUAGGAGGCCCAGCCCUCGGAAGGAGACGGGAGUCCAGGGAGGCCAAGGCCCGCUCCCGGGGAGGCCCGUGCUCCUCCAGCCCCGGGGACAGCAAGGAAAAGAGAAGAGAGCAGAGCAUUUCAUGGCUAUAAUAAAUCAAAGGGGGAAGUCGGAGCAGGAGAAAUAAGAAACUUCCCUUGCCUGGGCACGGGGACCUGCCAGGCAGCAGCCCCCGGGUGCCCCGCGGCCUUCCCUCCUUCCUCCUGCCUCCCUGGCCAGUGCCCAGAUCUCUCUUCAGGCCUGGGUACCCCCAUCUACCCAGAGACACCCGCCCCUGGACACCCAACAGCCCUCCUCGCUGCACUUCCCGGGCUGGCACCUCUCCGCAUGGCCUCAGUUUCCUCUUAAUUGGCACAGAAAGCCCUGGGUCAUGUAGUCAGGCUGCCCAGCAGAGAAGGAUGAAGACAGAAGACAGGCAGUGCCCCCUCUGAAACGAGGACCCUCAGUGGACAGAGGGAGGGGUGAGGUGUCCUGAGAACUCCUAGUGGGACAGUUGGAGCUGCAUGGACAGACGUCUGGGAGCCAAGACGAGAGGGAGAGGCAGCAGAGUUCAGAGCAGAGAUGGGGCCAGCCCCAGGCCGUGACAGCUGGCAGGCCCUCAACCAUCAACCUCAACCAUCCCUGAACUUCUCCCCAGCCAGACCAGGUGGCCCAGGGCCUGGGGCUUGAAGGGCCUAGAGGUCACCGUGGGGCAUGAGAUGUCCACAGCCUUGGGACAUAACCCGGGUGUAUCUUCUUGGAACAUCCACUCAGGUAGAAGACUGAGAGGGGAAGAUGUUUUUAAGAAAGGGGAGGGAAAUCCCCACACAUUAAAGAGAAGGAUGCAAACUUAUAUGAUUUUUUAAAGAUAAAAUAAGGAAUUUCAGGCUGGGCACAGUGGCUCACACCUGUAAUCCCAGCACUUUGGGAGGCCGAGGCAGGUGGAUCCCCUGAGCUGA